CCUUGCCCGAAGCUCAUCCUUCCGCUAACGCUGCGCCUGAAGCUGCGGCCGAAGCUGAAGCUUUCGCAGAAGCUUCCGCAGAAGCUAAACCUGGUUUACCUGCUCUACUUCUUACGUUGGGCAAAUUAAUCGUCGAUUCAUUCACUGGAUAGAGAAGAACUGAUGGGGUUAAAUAAGAAGAUAGACAAAUUAAGAAAA